AUUGAACGCUGGCGGCAUGGCUAAACAUGCAAGUCGAACGGACCCGCAAGGGUUAGUGGCGGAAGGGUCAGUAAUACGAUCGAAUGUACCCCGAGGUUGGGGAUAGGCACGGGAAACUGUGCGUAAUACCCAAUGAGCACUCCGGUGGAAAGAUUUAUCGCCUUGGGAGCAGCGAUCGUCCUAUCAGGUAGUUGGCGGGGUAAAGGCCCACCAAGCCGAAGACGGGUAGCGGGUGUGAGAGCACGGCCCGCGACAUCGGACUGAGACACUGCCCGGACUCCUACGGGAGGCUGCAGUAACGAUAUUCCGCAAUGCGCGAAGCGUGACGGAGCAAUGCCGCGUGCAGGAUGAAGCGGUUUCGCCGUGUAAA
rnacentral:rRNA from 1 species